rnacentral:rRNA from 1 species
CAGUCGCCGCGGGAAUACGUAGGGUGCGAGCGUUAAUCGGAAUUACUGGGCGUAAAGCAUGUGUAGGUGGUUGUUUAAGUCUGUCGUGAAAGCCCUGGGCUCAACCUGGGAAUUGCGAUGGAUACUGGGCGACUAGAGUGCGGUAGAGGAUAGUGGAAUUUCCGGUGUAGCAGUGAAAUGCGUAGAGAUCGGAAGGAACAUCUGUGGCGAAGGCGACUAUCUGGGCCAACACUGACACUGAGACACGAAAGCGUGGGGAGCAAACAGGAUUAGAUACCCCCGUAGUCCCUGUCUCUUAUAC